UCUCGGUGACUUUUUCCGCGCUAAGUGCUUCUCGGGAGAGCGCGAUACGACGUGGGAAGUGGCGGCGGCGCCUCGGAUGAAUCGGGGAUUUUGUUUACCCGGUCUCGACCCCCUCCGCAGAGGCGGGACCCGGGAGGCGCCGAGCCGCGACGGCGGGGUUGGGGCCGCCUUUGUUUUAGGCGAAAUUCCUCCGGUCUUUCUGUUGGCGCAUCCUGAGCGGAUUCCUGCCGUGCCUUGGGCUGUGGCUAACUGGGGCGAAGCAGUACGUGCUGUUCGGGUGCGGAAGGAUCAUACCUAGAGAUCUUUCACGCGGGUUAUCUGAGAACCUUCGUUCCCCCGGGAGCAAACUACUGCACUGCCAUCUCCUUGUGAGUGGGACUGGGAGCACAGCUGUACGUCACGCCCAAAGUAUUUCACUGCAAACAGACCAAAACUCUCAAAAAUCAACAUUCCUCACAAG